UAGGGAAUCUUCGGCAAUGGACGAAAGUCUGACCGAGCAACGCCGCGUGAGUGAAGAAGGUUUUCGGAUCGUAAAACUCUGUUGUUAGAGAAGAACAAGGACGUUAGUAACUGAACGUCCCCUGACGGUAUCUAACCAGAAAGCCACGGCUAACUACGUGCCAGCAGCCGCGGUAAUACGUAGGUGGCAAGCGUUGUCCGGAUUUAUUGGGCGUAAAGCGAGCGCAGGCGGUUUCUUAAGUCUGAUGUGAAAGCCCCCGGCUCAACCGGGGAGGGUCAUUGGAAGCUGGGAGACUUGAGUGCAGAAGAGGAGAGUGGAAUUCCAUGUGUAGCGGUGAAAUGCGUAGAUAUAUGGAGGAACACCAGUGGCGAAGGCGGCUCGCUGGUCUGUAACUGACGCUGAGGCUCGAAAGCGUGGGGAGCAAACAGG
rnacentral:rRNA from 1 species